rnacentral:rRNA from 1 species
AUGCCGCCUCUACCUCUCCCUCAGCCGCAGCCGCCUCCUACUAUUCCUCCUCAGUGGGCGAGGAAGGUUCAUGCGCACAACAUCUGCAGAGAGCUGCGGUGGCCGGCAGUGGAGGAGGAGGAGGAGGAGCCAACGACAGAUCGGCGUGUCACGAGAGCAGACACGGCGGCCGUCACGGGCAGAGCUGAGCGAAGAUGGCGCGGCGGCUGGGCGGUUGUCCGAACUAGAUCCCGCCAUCACCUCCAGCCGCCGCCUCGUUCACCCGUGUCCAUCUCGGCGAGACCAAGGGCGCGCCUCAUGUCCACCGCUCUGCUACUUCCGCCCUACGCUUUGCUCCCUCCGUUGUCGUCCUCGCUUCCGACCGCAAGAACCUCUGGGAUGUUGUUGUCCAGCACUGCCUCUUCCGACGUCAUGGCCACCAUGGUGACUAAUUUUGUGUUCCUGGAUUCGAGUAAGAAGCUGGUGACCUGCUCCAAGGAAAAGAUUAUCUGGGUCUGGGACCUCGACACACAACACUGCCUUCAAACUGUAGGUGGCCAUCACAACAAGAUAUGGUCGAUGGAUGUUGAUUCUAGCGAGAAGUUUGUGGUGUCUAGCUUGGCCAAUCAAGAGCUGCGGGUGUUCAAAAUCAAGAAAUUAGCUAAAGAGGGUCAAGAUUGGAACAAAUGGGAUGCACUUCUUCCUAAAGCACCACAGGAUAUGAGCUUUUGUUGUGGAUGA